UACGAAGGGUGCAAACGUUGCUCGGAAUCACUGGGCGUAAAGCGCACGUAGGCGGAUUGUUAAGUCAGGGGUGAAAUCCUGGAGCUCAACUCCAGAACUGCCUUUGAUACUGGCGAUCUCGAGUCCGGGAGAGGUGAGUGGAACUGCGAGUGUAGAGGUGAAAUUCGUAGAUAUUCGCAAGAACACCAGUGGCGAAGGCGGCUCACUGGCCCGGUACUGACGCUGAGGUGCGAAAGCGUGGGGAGCAA
rnacentral:rRNA from 1 species